GACCACCACGUCGAUAGGCGGGACGUGCAAGCGCAGCAAUGCGUUCAGCGAACCCGUACUAAUUGCCCGAGGUCUUGACUUU
rnacentral:rRNA from 1 species